GGAGACGUAUCGAAGCGGUCAUAACGGGGCGCACUCGAAAUGCGUUUGCCCUUUUUGUGCACGAGGGUUCGAAUCCCUCCGUCUCCG
rnacentral:tRNA from 1 species